UACGUAGGAACCAAGCGUUGUUCGGAUUUACGGGGCGUAAAGGGCGCGUAGGCGGCGUGGUAAGUCACUUGUGAAAUCUCUGAGCUUAACUCAGAACGGUCAAGUGAUACUGCUGUGCUAGAGUGCAGAAGGGGCAAUCGGAAUUCUUGGUGUAGCGGUGAAAUGCGUAGAUAUCAAGAGGAACACCUGAGGUGAAGACGGGUUGCUGGGCUGACACUGACGCUGAGGCGCGAAAGCCAGGGGAGCAAACGGG
rnacentral:rRNA from 1 species